GUAAGGGAAUCUUCCACAAUGGACGAAAGUCUGAUGGAGCAACGCCGCGUGAGUGAAGAAGGGUUUCGGCUCGUAAAACUCUGUUGUUAAAGAAGAACAUAUCUGAGAGUAACUGUUCAGGUAUUGACGGUAUUUAACCAGAAAGCCACGGCUAACUACGUACCAG
rnacentral:rRNA from 1 species